AGCGAUGUGGGAUGGGGUCCAAAGAAGGUGAAGAUGCCCUGUAGUACGGGUCAGCAGGAGCCUAACACAAUGUGGAAAGAGGUGGCCCCAGAUGAAGCCAGGGGGACCACAGAGGUGUCACUGCCAGCCUGUCCUGGUCCAGGGAGGGCAGGCAUAUGGGCUCCACCUCCGGCCAGAUCACCAAGCAUUAGCCAGGCCUUGCUGAGGAUGCGUAUACCCUGGAGGACCACAGUAAUGAGGGUUCGCCCCACAUGGUGCUAGCAUGUGCCAGGCUCUGUUCUCUCAUCAGGAAAAUAACACUGUUCUCCCAGGAUUACAGGUGCAGACGCUGAGGCCCUGUAAGAUUAACCACCCAGGCCCGGUCACAGCAGCCAGGAUGCAACCCGAUUUGAAGGUCACUAAAGAAAUUAAGAGGAAGCUCACGUGUGAUGUUCCGGAAGUGGAUAUUGUUCUGCCCAUCUUCGAGGUAAGAAGCCUUUAGGCCAUGGACUGGUCCAUGUUCCCACACAAAGCCAGACAGCAGGAGGCUCAGCGCAAAACCAGGUGGCCUGAGCACACUGUCAUCCACCACAUCACACGCCAGCAGAACUGACCAGAACACCCCCAAGACGUCAAGCCUGGGGGAGGGGCCCACCGGCAGCAGCGGGAACAGCUCCUCAAUUAGUGCCCAGGUUUCUGCAGGAUGGAACUUUCACUGAAUCCAGCUGCACCUUCUCCUCCCCACCCGCUCACUGAUCAGAACAGAUUUGAGGUGGGCUGGGAGACCAAAUGGGUCCCAUGAGAUAUGACAGAAAGGACUGGUGCAGGGGGCUUCAGUUAAGGCAACGCCUCACAUCAGAGCUGGUCCUGCGCCUUUAAAAG
rnacentral:lncRNA from 1 species